GAAAAAAAAUCUGACCUGUCAAGACAACAAUAAAAUGGCAGGUUACAUAAUUACAUUCUACAAAAACAAAAUGGCAUCCAAUGGUUGAGGAUUUCACGGUUUUUUUCAGGGAUUUUUUAGGGCCGUAAAACGGCCCCAAAAACUCAAUCUUGAAUUGAGUUUUGAAACUCAAUCUUCUCAUCAAAAGAUUCUGUGCAGUAAAAUGAAGUUGUUUGAGUUAAAUUCAUGACGUGUGCAAAUUAGUUUUCAGUUGAAAACCCGAAAAUUAAGUAAAAAAUGGCUGGAAAUCAUUUCACAACACAAGAAAAACAACACAUUCGCCGUCUUUAACCAGUUUAUAGUGUUCCUUAGUGCCCCUGCUUUAACACAUUGCAUCUCAACGACACUAAAGUAAGC